rnacentral:rRNA from 1 species
AUGGCGAGUCAGGGAGGGAAGGUGACUGAUGUUUUGGGGAAGAAACCAGCUAAUGGAGAGGGUUCGAGGGGGGUGACAAAUGCUGUGGAUGCCUCUGGUUCCUCUCUCCAUAUAGCAAUGCAUAAUCAGUUGGGGAUGAAGAUGUCGGGGAGUCGUCCUCUGGUCGUCGACAUGGAGGCAGCCUGCAAGGCCAUUGGUGGUUUCCUCGUGGUUGGACGCCUCCUCUCUCCUUUCCAGGUCAACCCAAGGGCCAUCCUCGAUGAUCUCCGAAACACGGCUUGGAAGAACCAAGGGGUGACCACCCUCCAAGAGGUGGCCAGCGACGAUGGGAGGUUCAUCCUCAACUUCGCCGCUGAAAGUGACCGUCGGUUUGUGCUUCAGGCGCAGCCAUGGCACUUCAAGCGGGAUGGGCUGAUCUUCGCCGAGUUCGACGGCAAGGGCGACCCGGCGGAGGUAGACCUUGGCGUCAUGACCAUAUGGGUCCAGGUACGAGAUCUUCCGUUCGUGCUUAUGACAGAAAGUAUAGGGUGGUCUCUAGAGGAUCAAUUGGGAGAGGUGCUGGAGGUAUGGCACCGCAACCAUGUGAUCAUUGAAAAAUAUUUGUGUGUGCGUGUGAAGCUCCUACUGCAUGAACCUUUGAAGACUUCUGUAGAGUUUACCCCCUUAGGUAGUUCUAAGAUACUUAAAUUCAAUGUAAAAUAUGCGAAGCUUCCUUUGUACUGUGAGUGUUGUGGGAUUGUGGGUCAUACUUCUGAGAGAUUUUGUAAAAUCCCAAGUGAGAAGAGAGUAGUUUGCUUCCCUAGAAAUCUGAGUGUUGAGCCCUACUGGAAGAGCCAAGGUGCUAGCAGGAGGGGUCUCCUCUUCGGGAACUACUCACGCAGCGACAAGAAUCCGACUACAAGCAUCGCCAACAACAACAACAACCCCAAGCCCAUGGACGUCGUCAAGGUGGCCACUGCCGUGAGUGGGCUCACGGUCUCUGAUAAGGGGCCCGCCACUUCCGCCAAGACAACCACCGGCCAGGAGGGCCGGGUUCAGGAGGUCCUGGCGCAUGCUCCGGCUGAUGCGUCACUUGGUCAGGUGGACCAGGUGGGUGUGCUCGCUGCUUCAGCCCAGGGCCGUAAGUCCCUGGAGGACUCUCGUCGCAGUGCAUCGCAUGACCAGGAGGGUCUCCCACUCGGCCAGGAGGGCCGGGUUCAUGUGGCUCCGCCGGCUCUAUUUGCUGCUGCUCCUGGUCAGGCGAACCGGGAAAUGGCUCUGGCUGCCCCUGCUAAACUUGCCAGGAGGGCCAAGGGCUGGCGGUGCGGGGAUGCACCCAUCCGGGUGAGCUGCAGGGCCAGGAGGGCCACGAGCUGA